rnacentral:rRNA from 1 species
AUUGAACGCUGGCGGCAGGCCUAACACAUGCAAGUCGAACGGUAACAGAAAGCAGCUUGCUGCUUUGCUGACGAGUGGUGGACGGGUGAGUAAUGUCUGGGAAACUGCCUGAUGGAGGGGGAUAACUACUGGAAACGGUAGCUAAUACCGCAUAACGUCGCAAGACCAAAGAGGGGGACCUUCGGGCCUCUUGCCAUCGGAUGUGCCCAGAUGGGAUUAGCUAGUAGGUGGGGUAACGGCUCACCUAGGCGACGAUCCCUAGCUGGUCUGAGAGGAUGACCAGCCACACUGGAACUGAGACACGGUCCAGACUCCUACGGGAGGCAGCAGUGGGGAAUAUUGCGCAAUGGGCGCAAGCCUGAUGCAGCCAUGCCGCGUGUAUGAAGAAGGCCUUCGGGUUGUAAAGUACUUUCAGCGGGGAGGAAGGGAGUAAAGUUAAUACCUUUGCUCAUUGACGUUACCCGCAGAAGAAGCACCGGCUAACUCCGUG